UCAUUGCCCACUGCCUGGCUCGAGCCAGUGCAGGAUUUGGGGAGAGGAGCGCAGGGGAGGCAGAUGGCCUAGGAGGACAUCAGGAUGGAGCGGACGGAGCUUCUCGCUCCUGCAGCCAGCAAAAGCUCCUCACACCGUAGCCCUGACCUCCCAGAGGGGUGAGUGCUGAUGCUCCCCCUGACAUGGCACAGAACUCUAGACCAUCACAUGCAAAAAACAAAAGAACCCCAACCAACCCCAACACCGUAAUUCAUGGCAUCAAGAUCCAAAGGGGGGAAUAAAAAGACAGGCCUGAUGCAGGGAAGAGGGUGCUUUGGCUCCCAGCCCUGGCUCCAGGCUGGCUCGUGCUCCGAGGAACCAGCAGCCACCAGGAAGCGCCCUGCUGCACCUCUGCCCACCCCGCUACCCAUGCUGGAGUGACACCCCUCAUAGGGUGCAAGGGAACAGGUCCCUUGGGAGCGGUGUGUCACUGCCUAUGCCUCCUGGUCUGGGGCAUCCAGGCAUGUGGAGCUGAGCGGCAAGAGGAUCCCAGGCUCAGCUCCUUAGGAAGCUUCAGCACGCCAGCUCUGAGAGUCAGCAUCCCCAAGCUGCUCUGCCAAGGGAAACGUUAUGCCCAUGGAUGCGAUCUCGUCAACUCCCUCAAAAGCAAGACAACAAGCAGAUUGACCUCCACCACACUGGGAGAGGAGCCUUGUCCCACAGGACUGCAGCCUUUCCACAUGGGAGGGAAAAGAGGUCCCAGGGACAGAACAGAACCUGCAAGAUCCACGGCCUCCCCUUCCUCCCUCCCUCCUCACCUCGUCUGUCUGUCCUGGGGGAGGAACAGUUUCUUGUGGAGGUCAGCAAGCUCCUCUUCCUGCAGCUCGUAAACAGGCUCUACUAAGAGGUACAUCAUCCACCUAUGCAACACUUCCAGAAGCUGCCAAGUUUUCAGGAGCCCAUUGCAAUGUGCAGCAUGGCCAUCCAGCACUGAGAAUAAGCACAGUGGCUGCUGGAAAGCUAAGUGGGUUUUAUUCCUCCCCCCCACACCAAGAAGACUGUUUUUUUGGGGCCUUUUUGUUCGUUUGUUUCAGUUUUGAUAACUUCAUUUGGGAAAACUAAGCUUGUGAGAAAUUGGUGCCCAUCCUGAACACUCCCUGGUCCUUCGAACUUCGGGAAUGGAUGGAUCCCCUACUGUGAUUAUAAUCUAGCAGAUUUUGUAGAGCAAAGUAACUUCACACACAGACACAUGAGGUUCUUUCACUCUCCAUCAGCACAAGCUGCUUCUGUGGUCUUAGCUACUACUCACAUUAGUGAAAGAAAAAGCCUAGCUAGAAUGUGGUGAGAUGACUUAGUAUUUUGUAUCAGUCCCAUGGUCCCAAUGACCAUUAGCAGUGCCGUCAGCAGCUGUGCCAUGAAUUCAGGCUUUGAAUGGCAGUCCAUGCACCAGUCAGGGUGAAAACAUUUGGAAAAGCCCAAGCCUGAGUCUGUGUUUGGCUCCAGAGGCAACAGCAGAGAGAGGAGCAGCUGAAAGCAGGCAUCACCUCCUGCUCAGCCACGCUAGAGGCUAUGGGGCUCUGUUUGUGUUGCACCUUCCCUCCCAUGCUGAGCCUGUCCCCAGGGGCUGAGCAGAGGGGAAGGAAAGUAAUUGUAUGUCUGACCAAGCAGCAUGCAAGCACCAUUCAGCAGGCUGGGGGAAAAGUGGUGACAGCUAGAGCCCAAAAUAACAGGAUUUCAUGUUGGAAAUGCCAGCGGCUUUUUCAAACUGUCGUGAGACCGAAAGGUCUUAACAGUGGUGAGAAAUGUUCCAGGUUGCUGUUCCUUGCUGGAAAAAACAGAUUUUGAUGAUGAGGUGGGUUUAAACGCUCCAGCCAACUCUGUUAGACAUGUGCAGUGCUUGUGGAGAAGAAUUGCUCAAGGAAGACUGGGAUGGUGGCCCUGUUGCUUUGCAGUGGCAUAGGGUGAUCAGAAACAAAGGCUGGAGUUUCAGGGCUUCCUCUGCCCCUGGAGUUGUGACCUGGCUGUCCACCCAAGCAUGUGUGUGUGGCAGGGUGGGCUUCUGCAUGCCAGUGUGCACACCUGGGACCCCCAGCCCUGCAGAGGGUUGGUGCUCUUGUGGCUGUGGUCUGGUGUCACCCAUCUGUCCUUGCAGCAAGGGCUUUGCAGGGUGACAGAGCAUUGCUUGUUCCUCAUGAGAGGAAACUCCUGACCUGGUUUUUGUGAGGACAUGGUGUGAAGUGUCACAUUCGCUGCAGUAAGUGGCAGGGAGCAGGGAUAAAAGCAUGGCGCAAGCUGUGUUUGAGAACAAGCUAAUCCCUUGCUGCCUGAAAUGAGAGAGCUGCUACAUCUGCUCCCUGGCCAACAUGUCCAGCUCUUCUCACCCUCCCAAACCUAAUGUGCAAACUUAUUCCUCUGAGGUAGCCAAAGCACCUUGUCCCCUGACUCUGAGGCUGUGCAUUCACAUCGUUUUGGUCCUCUCCAUGCUAGCACCAUGGGCAGCCAUGAAAUGCCAGUGGAUGUGUGAUGACCUCAGGCAUGCUGGUGGCCAGAGCCUACCAUAACCUGCUGGUUUGCCUGCAUACAGCCUCCCAGUGAUGCUCCUGCCCUGGUGUGCCUUGAGCUUGCUUGGUGGAGAGGCAGCACAGCCUGGCCUCACUUGCGCUUCACUUUAUGUUCUCCCAGAGAAUUCCACAGCACUUUUCUGAGCCUUUGUAGACAGGGUAAAUCCAACAGACCAAAGGUAGAAGACAGAAGGCCUUGACAUUUUGGUGGUCUCCGGGUUCCUGGUGCUGUCUCUUGGCAGAAGAGGCACAUGAGCUGUUGUGGCAGUGUGGGACCAGGGAGCAGGGUGUCUUCUGGGUGAGUUUACAGACAAAGGCUCUGUGCUUCUUUGCUGGGACCAAGGGCAGCUUUGCUGUGGGCUGAACAAGACACAGCUGAUGGAGGAGCUCACUGGGGAGGGCAGAAUAGUGUGUGAAUGCACAUGUGUAGAGGAGGGGAUGUUGAAGAGCAGCUGUAAAAGGCUUUGAGGAUGUGAUGGUUUUUACCAAGAUAUGAGGCAAGACAGGGCUGAGGGCUGCUGUGCUGGAGCAGUGCUGCUGAGAGGCACAGAGGGUGUGGGAAAUGGAGAGACCAGGGCAUUUGGUGGAGAAGGCCAGAAAUAAAGCAGGCUUUCUGAGCAGGCUGAGCAUGCUGCGGGUCAGGGAGACAGGCAGGAGGCAUUUCCAAGCUGGGGUGCCCAGACCAAGCCUUGCUGUAUUGUCAGAGCAGCGAUGCUGCCUCUGAGCCCAGCACUGACACGUGUCACCAAACAGCGAUGGCUAAUGCAGCCACAAGGUGUAAAUGUCACUAAUGAAUAAAUUGCCUUGUGCCUUGGAGAGGCCAAUCCAUCACAGCUGGGGACAGGGAUCUGACAGGCAUGGCUAUUUCAGGCAUAGCCUGUAGGGAGGAGGAACAAUUCAUUUCUGAGCCAUCCCCUCCACGUAGGGAAGCCAACGCAGGGCUUGGCUCUGACUGCUCAGCUUCAUCCCUCUUCACUGCAUUGGAAGGAAGAAGGAGGAGGAGGGUCUAGCUUAGCCAGAAGUGCCCUGUCUGUCUGCAGGGCAGUGUGUGAGCCCCAGCCGGGGUUAGCUGGAGAGGGAGUUUGAGGGAGGCUGCUGCACAUAGGGCACAUGCUGUAGGUGAUUAUGGGAUAAAGCGGUGUGUCCCCAGCCAUCAGGAGAGCUUGUGUCAGUUGUCUUUUCCUCCCGUGCUGUUGAGCCCCAGCCACCAGCACAGCUGGCUGUGCAGUGGGCCAGCAGGUAUAAGGCAGGCAGGGACAGAAGCUCAGCGUGGACAAAUGCAGCUCUGUGGAAACAAAGGGAGGCUGAACAGAGCAACCAUUUCUACGCACAGCCUCUGCCCAUCCCUAUGGCAGCCUGCUCCUCCACCCCCAGUUAGUGCUUGAAAUCAACCUGCCAUCCUCUUUACAGCAUAUGCCAACAUGACACCUUGCAAAUCGAUGCCUGGGUCGCUGUGAGCAGAAGCCGCCAGGCUUGGGAAGCCAGCCACUGGCUCCUGCUGCUCCAUGUGCUGUGCUCGGAGCAAAAGCAGGGCUUGCCAUCUGCUGUGGGAGGGAACCAGCCGGACACCCCUGCUCUGGCCCGGUGGGCACCCACUGGCAUAGUCCAAGUGCAAGCCCUUGUGUCAUUCCCCCUGCUUUACUUCCCAGCCACCCUCUGUCUCUCCCCAUGUCUGUGGCACAUGGAUGAGGGGAUGCUCCCAGCUUGGCUCGGUUCCUCUGCUGCCUAGUACUGCUCACACUGAAUCGGUGCAAGGGAGAGAAGACCAGCUCCCAGGCAAAGUGCCAGAGGUUACUUCCUCAGAAGCCCAUGGCUGACUCCUUCUGCAAAGCCCUGCACCACUCCUUGGGGAUGGAUCUCAUGGAAGAGCUAAAGGGUUCAUACUGGCCCUUCCCAGCACAGAGUGACAUACUGGAUACCACUGUGCAUGGUGGUCCCACAGCACGGUAACCAGACCUGGAGCUGACAAGUGACCCAGCAAUGACAGGAGUGUUCACACUCAAACAAGCUGCUGUUGCUGUCAGGGCUUUCAUUUUUUUACCAUGUUUGGCAUUUGAAGUUGUUUCAACCCUUGCAGACUGCCAAAUAGUAGGGCUGUUGGUGUGGGCAAGUGGUGCAGCCUGCUUGGUUUGGGCUUUUCUCUUUGGCUAGGAGAUUGAUGGGAGGGAAGGCAAAGGGUUGUCCAAGCAUUCCUACAUGCGGCAGCCCAAGAGUGUGCUCAGGUGGCAUUAACAGCCUUGGCCAUUUGCAGGAAGAGGAGAUGUGAGUAUCCUUGGAAAGCAAGUCAACAGUUGUUGUGGUGAUGAUACAUUUUCCCAAACCCUUUUCUUUCCAUCCCUGUUCCUCCCUGGCUCUGGCAGCCAGUUCCUCCUCCUGUGUCUGCUAGCACGGCUGAGGGAUCUCAUCGCUGCCCUCCCAGCACGAGCUUUCAUUGCACAGCUGGCUGACCAGAUGCAGCCCUGUACUUGGAGGUACAGGCGGGCUUGCCUAGGACCAGGCCACCUCCAUUGAGCCCCCACCCUUGCUGCUGGAGCUGUUCUUCAUCAGCCUGAUGCUGACCUGGGUCUUUUCUGCUGUUUCUGAACAUGAGUUCUCAUCUCAUUCAGGUGUGUCAUUCAGUGGAAAUACUUUGUAAGUGCAAAUAAAAGGAAAUAAAUCUAUUCAAUACCUCGGUCUCGAGGAUGGGAAGCGAGCUGUGGGAGACACCCAGCUGCUGCUGCAGGGUAAGGUUUCUUGUGGACUGAGCCCCUGGAGCAUCCAUGACCAGUGAGGGCUUGGGACUGAGCCCUGUCAGGAUGGUGGCCCUGCAUGGCCACGACUGUUGGGGACAGCCUCGCACCCCAUCCUUUCUGAUCUGUAAGGGCAUGACAUGACACAGGUAAAGGUCCUGUCGGCCAGGGGCCAGAGGCACCACAGGCGUCUGUAUCCAUCAGGCAGAGCAAGGCAGAAGCGGGUACGUGGCAAACAAAUUCUUUUGUGAAUACUGGGAAACAGUUUUUACUUUUCAACUCUGUCAAUAUGAUCUAGCUCUGUCUGUCUCUCUAUAUAUGUACGAACAGUAUAUCACAAUGUUGCCUUUUUUGUUGGAAAUAUCAAAGUACAAAGAUUGUAAACCAAAUCGGUGUAAUAAAAGUUUCGGAUGAUUCACUGAGGUGGCUGCCAGCAGUGGGUCU
ensembl:lncRNA